rnacentral:rRNA from 1 species
CCUACGGGAGGCAGCAGUGAGGAAUAUUGGUCAAUGGGCGCUAGCCUGAACCAGCCAAGUAGCGUGAAGGAUGACUGCCCUAUGGGUUGUAAACUUCUUUUAUAUGGGAAUAAAGUGCAGUAUGUAUACUGCUUUGCAUGUACCUUAUGAAUAAGGAUCGGCUAACUCCGUGCCAGCAGCCGCGGUAAUACGGAGGAUCCGAGCGUUAUCCGGAUUUAUUGGGUUUAAAGGGAGCGUAGGCGGGUUGUUAAGUCAGUUGUGAAAGUUUGCGGCUCAACCGUAAAACUGCAGUUGAUACUGGCAGCCUUGAGUACAGUAGAGGUAGGCGGAAUUCGUGGUGUAGCGGUGAAAUGCUUAGAUAUCACGAGGAACUCCGAUUGCGAAGGCAGCCUGCUGGACUGUAACUGACGCUGAGGCUCGAAGGUGUGGGUAUCAAACAGGAUUAGAUACCCGGGUAGUC